GGAGGCUGAGUCACAAACCAGGCCACAGCUAGGAGAAGAAUGAAGCCAUUCCUGGGAGGUGUUCUGGUGAUGCUAUGGCUUCAAGUGGACUGGGCUGAUGGCCAAAAGGUGGAACAGAAUCCUCACGUCUCCAGCAUCCUGGAGGGUGAAAAUGCUUCUCUGACCUGUAACUAUACAAACUAUUCUCCAGAGUCCUUCCAAUGGUAUCGACAAGACCCAGGAGGAGGCCUCUUCUUCUUGCUACUAGUACGUGAAAAUGAGGGUGAGAAACAGAAAGGAAGAUUGAGAGUUACCUUUGAUACCACCAUCAAACAGAGUGCCUUGCAUAUCGUAGUCUCCCGACCCGCAGACUCAGCCACCUACCUCUGUGCCCUGACUCACAAUAGCAUCCUGGCAGCUGCUUCCUGUACACAAACUCUUCCAGUCAACAGAGCUGAUGAUUGUGCUGUCCCCAAAGACUUGCCACAAGUCCUGCAAAAUAAAGGGGGGCUCAUUUCAAAGGAGCAAAAUGUGUGGGAAGGGCUCUGGGUUGCCCAGGAGCAGGGGGGGAUCCUUCAUCCAGUCUCAGAACUACUGAUGCCGACUGAAUGA